rnacentral:rRNA from 1 species
AACGGCCAUACCAUGCUGAAUAUACCGGUUCUCGUUAGGUCACCAAAGUCAAGCAUCACUGGGCGCGGUCAGUACUUGGGUGGGUGACCACCUGGGAACACCGCGUGCCGUU